GGGGCUGAGCGAGCGGAGCCAGCGCCACCCCCAUCGAGCUCGCCGCAGCCCGCCCCGGCCUCCUCCCGGCCGCGCCCCUCCCCCGCCGCCGCCGCGAACGCCUCUUUGUUGUCUAAUGCGGGACCGGCUGGCUCGGGACAUUUAUAUGUACCUAUCAGCCGAGGACAACCACUGUCCUCAAGUCUCUUUCCUCUCCAGGUUGAGAAGAAAAGGCGCCCAACUGUGAUGCCAGCCGCCAGGCUCCAAAGAGCGGUCCUUCUAAAGUCCCGUUACUGCCCCCAAAUAAAGCAUCCCUGGAGCCGACGCGACCACUAGGUGGACGGUAUACUGUACAAGAGGUCUGCAGAGCUGUUUUGCACACAUCUUGUAGACUGAAUACAUGGCAGGAGGAAUUCAAAUCUCCACGUGAAAGAAAGCAAGCUCACUUAAAUCAGUGUGCCUGAGCUCGAGUAAAGCAUUGGUACAAAAAUGAUUGAGAUGGUGAGGGAAAGGACUCUUCCCCGAGCCAUUGUUCAUGUGGAAACCAGUUACACAGAGGGGCUAAAUGUGCAAAGGGUAGUCCUCCCGGCAUCCUGGCAGGACCUCGCAGAGGAGGAUUUGGGGAAGCGUUACACAUCAGAAUCGGGGAAAAGACUGAGGGAGCAUCCAGGACCACCAUCUCCAAAGCAUUUUUUUUUAAUCUUAAAAGCUUGUGAUUUCUUUAAAAA